rnacentral:rRNA from 1 species
UACGAAGGUGGCAAGCGUUAUUCGGAUUGACUGGGCUUAAAGGGCGCGUAGGCGGUCUGGCGUGUCAGGCGUGAAAUCCCCGGGCUUAACUCGGGAAGAGCGCUUGCGACUGCCGGGCUGGAGUCAGGCAGGGGGUCGUGGAACUCACGGUGGAGCGGUGAAAUGCGUAGAGAUCGUGGGGAACACCGGAAGCGAAGGCGGCGACCUGGGCCUUGACUGACGCUGAGGCGCGAAAGCGUGGGGAGCAAACAGG